AUUGAACGCUGGCGGCAUGCUUUACACAUGCAAGUCGAACGGCAGCGCGGGCUUCGGCCUGGCGGCGAGUGGCGAACGGGUGAGUAAUGCAUCGGAACGUGCCCAGUAGUGGGGGAUAGCCCGGCGAAAGCCGGAUUAAUACCGCAUACGACCUGAGGGUGAAAGCGGGGGACCGAAAGGCCUCGCGCUAUUGGAGCGGCCGAUGUCGGAUUAGCUAGUUGGUGGGGUAAAGGCUUACCAAGGCGACGAUCCGUAGCUGGUCUGAGAGGACGACCAGCCACACUGGGACUGAGACACGGCCCAGACUCCUACGGGAGGCAGCAGUGGGGAAUUUUGGACAAUGGGGGCAACCCUGAUCCAGCCAUGCCGCGUGAGGGAAGAAGGCCUUCGGGUUGUAAAACGCUUUUGUUAGGGAAGAAAUCCUCUGGGCUAAUACCCCGGGGGGAUGACGGUACCGGAAGAAUAAGCACCGGCUAACUACGUG
rnacentral:rRNA from 1 species